GAGUGAGAGUGGAAAAAUUAGGGAUUCCAACUAGAAGUGCUUCACAUUUAGGUGCUUUGGAUGAUUGUGUGAAGGAUCAUGUACCAAUUGACAAAGUAAAGAAACCUAGUGUAAUUGAUAAGAAUUAGAAUGAAAUUGCACAAAUCUAAUAGAAUCAGAUGUUUCAAGCAACUGCACAAAGCCCAUUAUUCAGUGGUAUCAAAUCAUGAGCUAAUGUUGUGGAGG
rnacentral:lncRNA from 1 species